ensembl:lncRNA
UUCCUGUGACACCAACUUAUUUCCCUGUUCAGGUAAUGAAGAUUCCCCACCUUCCAUGUGAACAGGCCAGAUGCCUCUGCAUUCUUCCCCCAGGUGCUUUAGGCUCCCCGUGUCUUCGGCCAUGGCCUCCGAUAGCCCCUCCUCCCAAGCAGCUUCCACCUACCUGACCGCGCACACCAACGAGAUGGUGGAGCUGCAGCACCUGAACGGCCGCUUAACCAGCUACAUCGAGAGGUUGCACUUCCUGGAGCAGCAGAACCAGACGCUGGCGGCGGAGGUGAAGCGGCUGCGAGGCCGUAAGCUCACGCGCUUUGAAAGGCUCAUGGAGCAGACUCCCCAGAAGGAGGACGUGGAGAGCAACCUGGCUGCUUCCGGGGGGGUGACGCCUGUGUAGCGUGUCUCCACCCACAGCUUCUCCACAACGCAGAAGAAGCUCCUCCUGACGUUUCUCGUAUGUCUUCCUUCAUGUGCAGAGCUGCUGACCGUUAAAAGCAAUGUGGACGCCUCUGACCCGUUUGUCUUACUAUGCUAAAAAUCACAGCUCAACAUUGUUAAGGAACAACAAGGCAGCUCGCUGAGGUAGAGUGAAGAAAAGAGGAUGUCUUCAGAGAUACAGAACAGCGGAGCGAAGUGAAUGACCAGCGAGAGAAGAGGCCUAAGGGGCACGUGUGAGGGAGUAACGCUGUACAUCAGUAACAACGUUGUAUCUUUACCGUGAAGGACAUGAGUGAGUCUCUGUACCUGCAACAUCUGCUCCACCGUCAGCUUCAUCAACGGGUCGACAUCAUGUGAGGAGGAGCAGAGAGAAGAAGAGACGACGAGGGACAAGAACAUAGAGACUCUUCUGGGUUAAAGCGUGAGCAGCAGAGUGAUGCUGUUAUUCACUCUAUUGGGAUGUAUUUAUCUGUGGUUUAAUGUAUAUAUAUUAUAUUAUAUUUCCGAGAAUAACUGAGACGGACUUGAUUUGUUUUUUGUAUCAAUUCACAAUAAAAUGAACAUAAUUGCAUCAGAGAGGCUGCUGACAAAUAAAAGAAUUUUCCAAUGGCCUAAAAAAUAAAACACUGCAUGAACUUCCUGAUUUCUGUCUAUUUAAGUUAAAUGGAAUGAGGAAACAUUUAUUGUCAUAAUUUGUCAGACAUACAAGGAAUGUGACUUGGCGGUUGGUGCGUAACAGCAGAC